rnacentral:rRNA from 1 species
AAACUCUUAACGGCCGCGGCACUAAAACCGUGCAAAGGUAGCACAAUCACUUGUCCCUUAAAUGAGGACCCGUAUGAAAGGCAACAUGAGAGAAGACCUGUCUCCUAAGGCCAGCCAAUGAAACUGAACUACCAGUACAAAAGCUGGUAUCUGCAAGCAAGACAAAAAGACCCUAUGGAACUUUAACAAGUUAUUUACAAAACAUAAAUUAUAGUUUCAGUUGGGACAACUUUAGAGAAAAUUAACCUCUUAAUAAUACACUUAGACCAACAAGUCUAAACCGACUCGACCCAGUCACACUGAUUAACGAAACAAGCUACCCUAGGGAUAACAGCGCUACCUUCUCUAAGAGUCCAUAUCAACAAGAAGAUCUACGACCUCGAUGUUGGAUCAGGGUACCCAGACGGUGCAGCAGCUGUCAACGGUUCGUUUGUUCAACGACUAACACCC